rnacentral:rRNA from 1 species
AUACGGAGGGUGCAAGCGUUAUCCGGAAUCAUUGGGUUUAAAGGGUCCGCAGGCGGAUUAAUAAGUCAGUGGUGAAAUCCUCUCGCUCAACGAGAGAACUGCCAUUGAAACUGUUAGUCUUGAAUUCGGUCGAAGUAGGCGGAAUGUGUCAUGUAGCGGUGAUAUGCAUAGAUAUGACACAGAACACCGAUAGCGAAGGCAGCUUACUAGACCUGGAUUGACGCUCAUGGACGAAAGCGUGGGGAGCGAACAGGAUUAGAAACCCGGGUAGUCC